AGGAUUAUAGUUUAAAAAAAACAUUUGAUUUGCACUCAAAAAAUAUUGAACCCAAUUUAUCUU
rnacentral:tRNA from 1 species